UAUGCCUAGCCGUAAACAUUGAUAGAAUUAUACACCUCUCUAUCCGCCCGGAUAUUACGAGCAUUAGCUUGAAACCCAAAGGACUUGGCGGUACUUUAGAUCCCCCUAGAGGAGCCUGCUCUAUAACCGAUAACCCCCGUUAAACCUCACCCUCCCUUGUUUUUUCCGCCUAUAUACCACCGUCGUCAGCUCACCCUGUGAAGGCCUAAUAGUAAGCAAAAUUGGCACAGCCCAGAACGUCAGGUCGAGGUGUAGCGCAUGAGAGGGGAAGAAGUGGGCUACAUUCGCUAACUUAGCGAAUCACGGACGAUGAAUUGAAAACAUUCAUCCUUAAAGGAGGAUUUAGCAGUAAGUGGAAAAUAGAGUGUUCCACUGAAAUCGGCUCUGAAGUGCGUACACACCGCCCGUCACUCUCUCCAAGCCCACCCAAUUACCUAACAUAACUAAUUAUACCCAAACUGCAAAGGAGAGGCAAGUCGUAACAUGGUAAGUGUAC
rnacentral:rRNA from 1 species